rnacentral:rRNA from 1 species
UACGAAGGGGGCUAGCGUUGUUCGGAAUUACUGGGCGUAAAGCGCGCGCAGGCGGUCUUCCAAGUCAGUGGUGAAAGCCCGGAGCUCAACUCCGGAACUGCCAUUGAAACUGUGAGACUUGAGGACGAGAGAGGUGAGUAGAAUUCCCAGUGUAGAGGUGAAAUUCGUAGAUAUUGGGAAGAACACCGGUGGCGAAGGCGGCUCACUGGCUCGUAUCUGACGCUCAGGCGCGACAGCUAGGGGAGCAAACGGG